rnacentral:lncRNA from 1 species
UAGCAGAUCAAGUUUUAAUGUAUUUUGUGAAAGGAGAACAAACAACUUUAUAUCUCAAUCCUAAAACUCCAAACUGAUUGAACAGGAUAUAACGUUGGCACUGCAUUUCCCCCUUUAGAAAAACUACGUUUAGCCAGUGAGAGCUAAUGCUAUGUUUUAGGCCUUGCUUGGGAGUUCCCAAGACUACACUGCACCUUUAGUGAUUCAUUAGGUGGACUCAGAAUCAGAAUGCUGUUGGAUCUACAGAUGAGACUGAUUGCAGAGAGAUAGCAAGAACACACAGUGACAGCCAGGGGAAAAGACACUGGUAGAAGAGUCUGGAGGAAUCUAUCAGCAGCUUCCUGAUGGUCACACAGAAUGUACCAACUCCUACUAUGAAAAAUUCGACCACAUAAUACAGUGUUUUUGCCCAGUGAAGCCCAUUUAAGAAGCCAGGUUUAGGAUUUUUAUUUAUUUUUUUUUGGUACUGGGGAUCAAACUUGGGUCCUUGUGCUUGCACAGCAGGCGGCAAAACUACUGAGCUAAAUCCUCAGCCCCAAGGUUUAGGAUUUUUAAUAGGAGAUGUCAUGAACAUUCUCUUCUUAGCACUCCCUGCUGAGGUUCAGGCUCUCAAAAAGAAAGCAGGUGUCCACUAUGAAGCACAGUGUUUGUACAAACAACCUACUCACAGAAAAACAACCUUAUCAGUUAGAGAACUCUUCUUCUCCAUGUAGGGAACUUUUUACAAACGGAGUUCCAGAUGCCAGUCAAGGCCAACCUCACAAGUAGGUCUUUACAAAGCUUGAGGUUGGCUUGCUGCAUUAACAUUUUUGUGCACAGGCUUGUAUUUCAUUUUUCUUAACAGUUUGUAAAUUUCACUGAACCUUGGAAUAUAGUGAUGGGAUGUUUUUAACUGUAAUCUAGUUAUGAUCUGGGGUACCUUUUGCAUUUGCAGAUGACUGCUUUCAAAAUUCUCAGACUUGAGCCACACACAAUUGAAAGCCAUUUCCAGUUGCUUAGACCAUGCUUUCUUGCUUGCUGCUGAAUGAUUAACCUGCAGGAUUUCACAGGGAGUCAUUCCGGACCUGGGGAGGACAGCAAGCUUUUGUGGAGGAAAGAAAGAAAAUAGGUGGUGAGAUCUGGGACUUAGGAGACUGUCACAAGGAACCAUAUCAUUAAGACUAUUGUCUGAAAUAUUUAAUGAUCCGUUUGCCACUAACUCAGCUUCCAUCUCCUGUGAAAUGAACAUCCCUUCUUAUUGUGGCUUAAAUGACACAGCUCUAGUUUGACUGACAGUGUUUUCUUUAUAGGGAAUUUAAAUGGCAUUCCUUUGGGCUUAGCUAAUAAGCUUCGGAGAAUUUUUUUUGUGUGUGUGUGUGUGAGAGAGAGAGAGAGAGAGAGAGUGUGUUUCUUGUGUUUGUUCUUUUUUUUCUUGGGUCCUUGGAAUGAAAUUCUUGUCAGAAUCAAGAACAUUUGGAAAAUGGAUUCCUGUUGUUCAUUCUUUUACCUCCCAUCAAAAAUAGACAAUCUCCUUGGAUAGGAAAACUUGCCAUAAUAAGAUCCACCCAUGCCAGAGAUUCAUCUUCUUUUGUAAGCAUGUCUUGUCUCUGUUUCAGUAUUUGUUGGUAGUUCAAGACCUUUUCUGCCAAAUGUUAUGAGAUUCAAAUAGAAACUGCCAAAAGCAAUGUUUGACAUGAGCCUAAAAGGACAUGUUGGAAACAUGGUCCUCCAUCUUUCCAUGGCAGAUGUUUAUUUUAAGGAAAGGGAAUAUAGAAUCAUUCAAGAGUUAUGCAUUUUAUUACAAAAUGCAUGUGUAUUUUUAAAUACUGAAAACUUAUGAGAGCCCAACAAACAAAGGUAAAAAUUCUUUAGUAAAGAAUUUACCAUCCAGAAAAAGAUAUGUAUGUACAGAUGACUUAUGUUAUUUGUGGCCUUAGCAUAAUUGCCUGGGAUGGGACACAAUCAUUUUGUAAGUGACCUGCGGUCUGGGCACAGGUGAGUGGAGAUGGAGAGAGUUGAGUGCACUGUGAGGGGUGCCAGGGACAUUUUACCAGGUCCCACAGCAGCCUCCUGGAGGGUGCAUUGUAAGCUGAUGCUGGAGGAGGCCUAUGGAUCAUUCAGGCACCGGGAGAAAGAUCAGGGAGGGGAAAGGUGUCCCAGGUAACAGGAACAGAAUGAACAAGGCUCCAUGGGUGAGAAGGCAGCAGGCCACAUAGACAUAGCUGUAGCACCUCUGGCACCCUGGCUGCAGUGGGCAAUCCACAUAGUGAGUAAGAAGAGAUCUGAUUACAAAGUACCCAGCCUGCCAUGUGAACAAGAUGGAAAUUUCUCAUUUUUGUGUUUUGUUUUCCCUGCUUAAUGGUCUCUCCUCAGUUGUGAUCACAGCACAAACACUUAUUCAGAACAAGUGUUUGCAAGCCCAUGUGAGGUGCCAGAAACUGUGAACUCACAUGUAGUCAUCUAUGUGUCUGCACAGUGAGCUGGUGUGGCAGGAGUCUGGGGAGCUAGAGGAGAGGUAGAAGCUAUAAAUAUCAUGUCCCCUGUUUCCAUACAGUUCUUUUAAUAAUCAUCUGAAACAUCUCUCUAAUAAUCUAACCGAAGUUUUUGUAAAUAGGG